AAUUUAUACUUUUAAAUUUUAUAUAUCAUAUUUGAAUUUUAAAAUCUUAAAUUUUAAAUUUUUAAAUUUGUUAUCUCGAUAUUUACAACUUUAAGUUUAACGAAUAAGUUGCAAAUUUCAUUUCAAAAAUUACUAUUUAAUUUUCAAAAUUAAAGCUAUUAAAUUUUAUAAACAAACAAACUUCAACUUUUAACCGAAAUAAAAUCUUUAAACCUGAACUAAUUAGGUAGAAAUUAUGUAACACACUGGACCUGUGCAAAUUGCGAGGUUUGAGU
rnacentral:lncRNA from 1 species